rnacentral:misc_RNA from 1 species
GAUGAAGAACGUAGCGAAAUGCGAUAAGUAGUGUGAAUUGCAGAAUUCAGUGAAUCAUCGAGUCUUUGAACGCACAUUGCGCCCCCUGGUAUUCCGGGGGGCAUGCCUGUCCGAGCGUCAUUGCUGCCCUCAAGCACGGCUUGUGUGUUGGGCCCCGUCCUCCGAUCCCGGGGGACGGGCCCGAAAGGCAGCGGCGGCACCGCGUCCGGUCCUCGAGCGUAUGGGGCUUUGUCACCCGCUCUGUAGGCCCGGCCGGCGCUUGCCGAUCAACCCAAAUUUUUUAUCCAGGUUGACCUCGGAUCAGGUAGGGAUACCCGCUGAACUUAAGCAUAUCAAUAAGCGGAGGA